rnacentral:rRNA from 1 species
GACGAACGCUGGCGGCGUGCUUAACACAUGCAAGUCGAACGGUAAGGCCCUUCGGGGUACACGAGUGGCGAACGGGUAAGUAACACGUGGGUGAUCUGCCCUGCACUUCGGGAUAAGCCUGGGAAACUGGGUCUAAUACCGGAUAGGACCACUGCCUGCAUGGGUGGUGGUGGAAAGCUUUUGCGGUGUGGGAUGGGCCCGCGGCCUAUCAGCUUGUUGGUGGGGUGAUGGCCUACCGAGGCGACGACGGGUAGCCGGCCUGAGAGGGUGACCGGCCACACUGGGACUGAGAUACGGCCCAGACUCCUACGGGAGGCAGCAGUGGGGAAUAUUGCACAAUGGGCGCAAGCCUGAUGCAGCGACGCCGCGUGAGGGAUGACGGCCUUCGGGUUGUAAACCUCUUUCAGCACCGACGAAGCGCAAGUGACGGUAGGUGCAGAAGAAGGACCGGCCAACUACGUGCCAGCCGCCGCAGUAA